ACAACUGUCCCAGGAUCUGUUUGGAAUAGGCCAUUUCUUUCUCACACAGCACAACAAGCUGACCAAUAGAAUAGUUCAAUUUUUCUACUAUGGGGGAUAGUAGAUUGACAGGCUAGUGAUUCUGCUGUUCGUUACUGGUCUUGUUGGCUAGUGAUUGUGCUGUUCGUUACUGGUCUUGUUGGCUAGUGAUUCUGCUGUUCGUUACUGGUCUUGUUGCUAGUGAUUGUGCUGUUCAUUACUGGUCUUGUUGGCUAGUGAUUCUGCUGUUCGUUACUGGUCUUGUUGGCUAGUGAUUCUGCUGUUCGUUACUGGUCUUGUUGACUAGUGAUUGUGCUGUUCGUUNNNNNNNNNNCUGUCUGUUCCCAUCAACCAGAGUUCAAUAACAGAACUAUUCUCUGGACCGGGACACAGAACCACUGUCUGUUCCCAUCAACCACAGAGUUCAAUAACAGAACUAUUCUCUGGACCGGGACACAGAACCACUCUGUCUGUUCCCAUCAACCAGAGUUCAAUAACAGAACUAUUCUCUGGACCGGGACACAGAACCACUCUGUCUGUUCCAUCAACAAUGUAGAAACUUUAAAACAGUAAAACAGAAGCUUAACAGCCGGAGAAACAGCAGCCUGGCACAGUAUAGUAGAGAAACAUCCCAAACGGUACCCUAUUUCCUGUAUAGUGCACAUAGAGCCCAAUGGGCCCUGGUCUGAAGUAGUGCACUAUGUAGGGAAUAGGGUUCCAUAGGGCUCUGGUCUAAAGUAGUGCACUAUAUAGGGAAUAGGGUUCCAUAGGGCUCUGGUCUAAAGUAGUGCACUAUAUAGGGGAAUAGGGUGCCUUUGGGACACAGCCCUAGGAGUUCUUGGGAGUGAACCCACCUAAAAAUAAAAAGUAUGGGUUUAUCAUUCACAUCUGCUUCAUAUACUUUAAGAUCUGUUGUUUGGAAUGCUUUCCCUAAUUGGCCCCAAAAUUAAUCAUUUAGAUUUUGAGAAAUACUGCUGAGAACUUCAAAUAACGUAUCGUUGUUGCUUUAGGUCCUGCGAUAGUAACCUUUAUUUUAUAGCAACAUGUGACAUUCCUAUACAAAAGUUAAUCAGAGCUACGCUGAUCUGGGCAGCUGGUUAUAACCACAGUACUAGACUGAUCUGGGCAGCUGGUUAUAGCCACAGUACUAGACUGAUCUGGGCAGCUGGUUAUAGCCACAG
rnacentral:lncRNA from 13 species